UGCAUACAUACAGAUACACAAUUGAGAGAGCAGAGAGCAUCGAGAGAGAGAGAGAGAGCAAGGGAAACAUCCCAGUGGCGACGACCUGAAUGAGCGCAUUUGUAAUGUACAAAAUAAAAAGUGCUACUCAUACGAAAGAAUCGAGCUCUUGUCAACUUCGUUUCUGUAUGCCCCUUCCCCGCUAACCAACAAACGAUUUUCGUCUUUCGUUGCGUCGCGACGAAAUCGCCGAAUUUCGUUUUGGACUUUACCGUUUUUUGCAUGGAAUGCGUGCCUUCUUUCGUUUGGUUUCUUUGUCUAUGCCUAUUCCUUUUGUGUGUAUAGUGUUAAUGAGUGUAAAUACAAGUUCAAAAAUGCAUAUGUGUGAUGAUUUCUGUUUUCGUUUUACCCGCCGCGGCGCGUCACUUUUCUGAUAUUGUUGAGCUGUGCGGACGUAAAUUUAAAGGGAAGUAUCUGAUGCUAUAAAAACCGAAGGGUCCACUAAGAGGACCUAUAUAAGUACAAUAAGAAACUGCUUUCGGGUCCAGAAAGGUCGACUGGAAAAGCAGAAGUUCGAUAAUAAGGACAAACUAGAUAAUAAGACAUAGCUUUAGAUUUAGAU
rnacentral:sRNA from 1 species